rnacentral:rRNA from 1 species
GAUGAACGCUAGCGGCAGGCCUACCACAUGCAAGUCGAGGGGUAACUAGAGUGAUAGCAAUAUAGAGGCUGGCGACCGGCAAACGGGUGCGGAACACGUACACAACCUUCCUUUAAGAGGGGGAUAGCCCAUAGAAAUGUGGAUUAAUACCCCGUAACAUAUCGGUGUGGCAUCACACGGUUAUUAUAGUUUCGACGCUUGAAGAUGGGUGUGCGGCUGAUUAGGUAGUUGGCGGGGUAAAGGCCCACCAAGCCUUCGAUCAGUAGCUGAUGUGAGAGCAUGAUCAGCCACACGGGCACUGAGACACGGGCCCGACUCCUACGGGAGGCAGCAGUAAGGAAUAUUGGUCAAUGGACGCAAGUCUGAACCAGCCAUGCCGCGUGAAGGAUGAAGGUCCUCUGGAUUGUAAACUUCUUUUAUAGGGGGCGAAAAAAGGGAAUUCUUUCUCACUUGACAGUACCCUAUGAAUAAGCACCGGCUAACUCUGUGCCAGCAGCCGCCGUAACAC